GGCGAACGGGUGAGUAACGCGUUGGUGACCUGCCCCGAAGAGAGGGAUAACAGUUCGAAAGGAUUGCUAAUACCCCAUGUGGUCGUUUGGAUUAGAUGCCUUAUGACUAAACGGAUUUAUUCGCUUCGGGAGGGGCCUGCGUCCCAUCAGCUAGUUGGUAAGGUAAUGGCUUACCAAGGCGAUGACGGGUAGGGGACCUGAGAGGGUGGCCCCCCACAAUGGAACUGAAACACGGUCCAUACACCUACGGGUGGCAGCAGUAGGGAAUAUUGGUUAAUGUGCGAAAGCGCGAACCAGCAACGCCGCGUGCACGAUGACGGCCUUCGGGUUGUAAAGUGCUUUUUG
rnacentral:rRNA from 1 species